rnacentral:lncRNA from 1 species
AUCUCUAUCUCUAUCUCUCUCUCUCUCUCUCGAAAAGCAAGGGAAAGAAAAAGCGAUGGCUUCCAACCAGGAAGCUGGGAAAGAGAUGGAAUUAGCAGUGAAGCCGCAAGAACUGCUUCUUCAUCCUCCCAGGCGCGGGCGCGUAAAGCGUCUCAUGUUAGCCUAUUUGGUCCGAAGGUUUAAAGCCCUUGUUGGUAAAACGUCAUGCUCUGCUCCCGGCAGCAACGCAACGUACAUUCCCCCGUAAAGUCACAAGUGCCUUCUCUUACCUUCGAUUACGUGCUGGGGUCGUGAACAAAAUCAUCCUGGAUCGCGGUGUAGUGUACGUCUGUGGUUGUGUUCUGCUUGAGCAGUUGUAGUAGUGUCUGAGCUGGAAAAUGGCUGAGUGUUUUCAGGCUGAUGUUCUGUUCUCCCAUCCUAUAUGUGUCUCCG